CAGGAACAAAUAUUACCACGGAUUCUUCAGUGCCGCUAUAAAGUUGCCAUCUGGUCUCUCAUCCGGAGUUGUACUUGCCUUCUACGUAAGCAUUUGGUUAUGUUUAAUUCUUCAAUUCUGGUAUAUUUGCAUAUAUACAUGUGUGUGUGUGCGUGUGCGUGUGGGGAGUGUUUGGGCUUCUAAAUAGUUACAAGUGCAUGCAUGUGUAUUUGCAGUUGUCUAAUGCAGAUAGCUAUCCGCACAACCAUGAUGAAAUUGAUAUUGAAUUGCUUGGUCAUGAUAAGAGAAAUGACUGGGUUCUACAAACAAACAUAUAUGCGAAUGGAGGUGUCAGUACCGGAAGAGAAGAGAAAUUUUACUUCUGGUUUGAUCCAACGGCACAGCACCAUUACUACAGCAUCAUCUGGAACAGCCAUCACAUUGUGUAAGUAACACACUAGAGAGUCAGAAAUUCUCAAAAUGAAAUAAUUAAUACUGAAACUACACACUACUAAUUGCAGAUUUCUAGUGGACAAUGUACCGCUGAGAGAGUUUCCAAACACUGGGGCCUUUUCUUCUGUAUACCCAUCAAAGCCAAUGUCAGUUUACGUGACAAUAUGGGAUGGAUCACAGUGGGCAACUCAUGGAGGAAAAUAUCCAGUUAAUUACAAGUAUGCACCAUUUGUGGCUUCACUGGCUGAAAUGGAAAUGGCUGGCUGUGUGUUAUCAAAUUCUGCCUCUGCUCCUGCUUCAUGCUCGAAGGGAAGUGCUUCAAGCUUGGAUCCAGUUGAUGGACAACAAUUUACUACACUUUCAAAGCAGCAAGUUGCUGCAUUGGAUUGGUCUAGAAGAAAGCUCAUGUUCUACUCUUACUGUAAGGAUACGACAAGAUUUAAAGUCAUGCCACCAGAGUGCAAAUAACUAAAGAGAUUACAGAUCACUUCUUCUUUUUUCCCCUUUAUUUUGUCAUUAAUUUCGUAUUCUUCUCCCCAUCGGAGAGGAAAUGAAUAACAAAGAAGGCAAAAUUUCUGUAUUUAUUUAUAUCAAGUAAUGAACCAAUAACUCAUUUAUUUAUGGGAUAGUUAUUUAAUUUAAACUUAUUAAGUAAAGAUCCAAUUAUGGUAGAAUUAUUCUACCGUAAAACUAUGCUAAUAACUAUACGAUCAUAAUAAUAAUAAUUAUUUUUUAUUUAUCAUUUUAAUUGUGUGAUUAUUAAGGAAUGCUAUACUUAAGAGCCAUCGUAACCUCUGCGAUCAAGCAAAUAUGAAUAUAGAUAUGAAUCGUAUGAUGUCUGAUCUGCGACAGGGAAUCAGAGUGGAAGACAGAAAUCUCGUGCAUGUGCCAGUUGUUAGUAGCAUGGCUAUUAAUUAAUAAUUAGAAAGUGGUGCAUGCACUAGACAUGCAGGCUGCAGCCUCAAUUUGCAGAGAAGCUUCCUUGGAUAUGUCAGCAGGCAGAUGAUAAGAUCAUCAGAGCAACUGGUUGCGAUGAAUAUCUAUAUUUCAUUUCCAAAAUUAAGUUUGAAAUACUUCUCACACGCAUUUAAUUAAAUGUGUAUUUCUAUUUACAAAAUAAAAUAAAAAAAGCGGCAUGAUCAGAUAUACAGUAAAAUCUAUAUCCAUAUAAUGUAAUAUUGAGAUCUGGAUACGAUCCUUAUUAAUAAUAUUUUUCGUGAUUUAAGACAGAGAGGGGAAAAAA
rnacentral:lncRNA from 1 species